rnacentral:misc_RNA from 1 species
CUAACAUUUUCUCCACAGUUUAUAAACAUUGUGGGCCAGUUUUAAAAGCUGAACACUUUUUUUUUCUUAGCUAUAGAUUUGCUCGUGUUUUGGUUUAUUGUUUAUUUUCUGUAUGCUUAAGGUGAUUUACAGUUAACGUGUUUCUACACUAGAAAAGAAACUCAUUUAAAGCUUUUUCCCCUGCAACCUGCUUAUUUAUAUGUUCGUUUAACUUACUAUAUUCUUCUUUUUAUUUUUUUCUAUCAAUAAUCAUGUAGGACCAGUAUUUUGUGUUCCUGGUAGGAUAGACGGUUCCGGUGGCUUAAACUUAAAAUAUUGAAACCCUUGCUGUAUGUUGCAUAAGUAAUUAUGCCACUAUGCCAAAAUAAGUGUCAGGCUUUUCAUUGAUUCAGGGUUGUUUAAAAG